UUGGAUUACAUUGCUGUAAAAAGGUUAUUCUACUAAUAGGACAGGCAUAAGAUAAGAUUAUUACGUUUGUUGUGUAGUUUUUCAGUACUGGAAAUGAGCUUCCACUUUGAAUACACAACUAUUGUACGUCCACUCUCCCCACCUAGGGGGGAAAAUAGGAAGUCAAAACGAAAAAAAAAAUUAAAACUGUGGAUUACCCAACCCGUUUUAAAAAAGCUACAUAGUACUAGUUUCCAGGAUAGAACGCAUGUUCUUUUUAACGUCUCUUUUUUCCUUGCCUGGUGAUGUAAUACCUCUCUUUACUUAUCCUUCUUUCUUUCCGCGCAAUGAGUCUACAUACAGGCUGGUGAAGACCUAACUCUUUCCAGUUCACAUAUGGACAGCAAGUGCGCCCAGCCAGCGACUGAUCGAUCAGGGAACUGAAGAUAGCCUGCGAGCAGGCUCACGUUGGAGCACAAGCGCGCGGCGAAGCCGUGAGCGCGAAAUCGAGCGGCGAAGCCCUGAGACGAGAAACGAGGCGAGACGAGACUUUCUUGGCGCCUCUUCACCAGACUCUUUCCCGUCGGAUCGCUUUGUUAUUCGCCGCUUGUGCGUGUGACUCAAAGGUGAACCUGCUCGCAGAGUAUGGGAGGAUAGCGAUUGCCUUUCACGCAGACGCUCUUGAGCUCGUCACGCAAUCUUCCUCCCCUGCGAACGUCGUCAUGGUUUGCGUUCGGUUGUGUCUAAAGGCCAGAUGUGACCGGAUUGUGCAAAGGGCCUAUUCCUUUUCGUAACACCAUGGUCGCCUAAUUUGCAUUCAUGUCUCACAGGCAACAACGGUUGUAUGAGGUUUACUGCCAGCUGUACUGCAGCUGCUGUAUCAGCAAAGCAGAAUUACGAUCGAGGGAAAUAGACAGACAAAUUGCUGAAGAUAAUCGUCGACACCGUAGCCAGAUAAACGUCUUAGUUUUAGGGGCCCCAGGAAGCGGGAAAAGCACGUUCCUCAAGCAAGCAAACGUCUUAUUUGGUAAAGAUUUCAAGAACGACGAAUUAGAUGAAUUUCGUCCCAUAAUUUAUAGUGGCAUUUUACUGCGAAUUAGGGUCCUGGCUAAUGAGCGAAGGAAGUUGAAACUGGAAUGGCAAGAUCCUUCGAACCAAAAGCACGAAGAAAAGAUCUUGAAUUUCCAAGCGCCUCAACACGUCGACACAGAUAAGUUUAUGAGCUACUUUGAAAGUAUUAAGAGUCUUUGGUUGGAUAAAGCAGUUCAAGAUGUGUAUGCGGGAAGAGGAAGAUUACAGCUGGGGGAAUCCUCAGAAUAUUUUUUCCAACAAUUGGACCGAGUUGGUCACCCGGAAUACUUGCCCACAAAGGUGGAUGCUCACUAUGCGAAAGCAGCAGAAGGCCUUGGCGGCAUAACAAGGCAUGAGGUUAACUUUUACGAUACUACGUUGAACAUGAUCCAUAUUGGUGACCAGAAGUAUUCCAGCCCUAACACUAAGUGGCAGAGAUUUCCUUGUUUUGAAAAUGCGGAGUCCAUUCUGUUCCUCGUGUCGUGUAUUGCUUACGACCAAUUCCUCAUGGACGGAACAACGAAUUGUCUUGUGGACUCAUGUGACCUCUUUGAUACAAUAAUCAACAGCUUUUUCUUUGCCCAUAAGUCAGUCAUCCUUUUCUUCACCAAGGCAGACCUUUUAGAGGAAAAGAUCAAACACUCGAACAUAAAGGAAUACUUCCCAGAGUUUCAGGGAGAUCCACGAAAACUAGAAGAUGUGCAAGGCUUUCUUUUUCAGAUGUUUGAUGACAGGCGACAAGAGAAUUCUCGCGCUCUCUUCCGCGGCCAUCACUUCAUGACAACCAGUGACCCAAACAAUAUCACAUUGCUUUUUCACAUAAUUAGGGAUACUUAUCCGUGUAAGGGUUGCCUUUAUAGAUUUGCAUUGUUGUAGUUUUGACUAAGUGAGCCCAGUUUUUCUUAAAUCGCUGUAAACCCUGUGUAAAAUACAAGAAAAUAGUGUUUUUUUUAACUUGAAUGAACGAACGAACGAACGAACGAAUGAAUGAAAACUUUGUUUAUACCACGGUAAAAAUACCAGUACAUAAUAAUAGAAAAAAACAGAAACAUUUUCUAUCUACUAGUUUACAUAUCUGCCGUGUGUCACAUAUCUGCAGUGUGGGAGUCCCGAUGCAGAGAACCAUAUAUUAAUACUUCUUUUGAAGAGGUCUAAGGAUUUUGUAGUACAAAGUUUCUCGGGAGGAUCGUUUCAUAGAGAAGCUCCGCUGUAACUGACGCUUCGCUUUAGGUAGUCGGUUCUUGGUUUCGGUCAGGAGGUAGAUACAAUUUUUGAGUAGCGUCGCGAAUCGAAGAUCAAAGGACGAAUUUCGGAGUAAACUUGUUACAAAGAUAAACUGGGGCGAGCUUAUUAACGCAUUUGUACAUUAAAUUUGCCUUUUGCUUCGCCCUUCUAACUGAUAAGUUAUCCCAGCUAAGCGAGAUAAGAAGAUAGCUAGAGUUCGUAUCAUAACUUGAUUUAUUAAUUACUCUGGCAGCACGAUUUUGUAGUUUUUGAAGUUUCUCACUUAGCAGCUGAGACAAGCAUCCCAACUGAACACUGCAAAACGCUGACUUGCUUAUGUGCACCGAUACUGGAAGCGACUUUUUUCGAAAUUGCAUUUAUGUGCUCCUUCCAGGAUAGGUUUUCAUCUAUGUUCAGUCCGAGAGCUUUGCUAUGAUCUGUUUGGUUCAUUUUGACGUCGUCUGCAGUAAUAUUUAUUGUCUCGUCAUUUAAAGACUCCAGUUUUUGACGCGAGCUAAUGCGCAUAAACGCACUUAGUUUUAGCAACAUUGAGGCUUAACUUGUUGGCUCUGAGCCAGAGAUUAAUGCUUUUAAGUUCACUAUUGAUUUGGGUCUCAAGAUCAGUCAUGUUAGAUGCAGCAAAAGUAACAUUAGUGUCAUCAGCAUACAUUGUAGGGGAGCCUAUAGGUUCGAGCGCUUAAGUCUCUAAUAUAGAUAAAAAAAAUAGACGACCAAUUAUUGAUCCUUGGAGAACUUCGGGCUUGCGCUGGAAAGGUGAUUCAAUGUUUACGUUGCCUCGUUGCAUACGAUUCGUCAGGUAAGACUUGAACCUUUUUAGGACCCCAUAUUUAGCAAGUUUUUACAAGAUGAUUUUAUGAUCUAUAGUGUCAAAGCCUUCUUUGAAUCAAUGAAAAUUACACCAUUGAGAAGACCGUUGUCAACAUUGACACACCAGUUAUUGCUAGUCUCCAACAAGACAGUAAGAGUACUGUGUUGAGAUCGAAAGCCAGACUGGCAAUUGGUUAAUAAAUCAUUUGCAUUUAGAUAAUUGUAUAGUUGGUCAUAGAUAAUUUUUUCAAAGAUUUUGGCCACAGCAAACAACAGGUAACAGGAAUCGGAAGAAGGUGGAGCUCUCAUCCAAAACAAUCUACUUCAUGCUCGUUUCUUAGUCGACUCUUUUUCCGAAUCGAAGUGUAAAUAGCUUCCUAGGCAGACGGUCUUUUGGAAGGAGUGCGCGAUGAUCCAUAGGAAGGAAAAGUUUUAACUGCUUUGCAAGUACGAAAGAAGCUUUUACAUUGUAACAUUGUUUGGUUGCGAUCUUUACCGGGAUGAAUACCCAGACUGCUAUUCGGUCUCACGCGUCAUUCGAAUGCUCGGAAUGAGUUGUGACAAGGCUGUCUUUGUUGUGACUUGAGAUACACAAUAUUGAGACCCAUUGACGACUAAUGUAUUGCAUAAUGACUUACGUUGGUAAGCACGAAACAGGAAAGUAGGUGUAUUUAGAAGAAUAAAAGUGGGUGUAUUUUUGAAAGCGGAAGUGGAAGAAAUCGGAAGCAGCCCUUACGAAUAGCGGAUAUGAUAUACUAGUUUGACGUUGUACAAUUACCGCCUUCUGCUCCCGCGAAAGCGGAACUGUUAAACAUUAUUUCAAACAAACUUGAAAAGUUUACAUAACAAAACAAAGACGGCUUUCCAAAUCGUACUGGUAACGCGAACAAUCAAUCAUCACCAACCCAAAUAGAUUCUGUUUUCAGCCUAUUGUGAGAUAGCAAGGCUAUUUUUAUUCUGUCGAGGACUUUAAUAAUAAUAUUAUUACAAGAUUGUUUGCUCAUUUAUAUAUCUGUUUAUCAACACGGAUGUCAUUUAUCAGCAAACAAGGAAACAUAAGUGUGCCCCUGUAAUGAACGACGAGAUUUAUUGAUCCGGAAUGUUAAAACGUGCAUAGAUAAAAUUCCCUUUAUAAACAGGUUUGUGAAUGAAAGUUUUUCAAGGGCUGACGCUUUCCAUGAAGGAAGUUUGUUGCUAAAACAUGGUUUGUCAAAGGGUUUGGCAGAAAAUACUUUUAUUCUCCUUUAUGUCUAGCUAAACUUAGCUGACAUUAGGAGCCCAUGCUGACGUUGUAAACGCACCAGAUUUAUUGGAAUUAAUUAUUGUAAUGUAUGUCAAAAUAAAUUUAAUUGAGAAAGGCUAAUUCCCAGUCCUUCCCAAAUCCGGCACUCUGCCAAAGUAACCCUUCCGUCAUUUCUGUUCAUAGCAUAGCUUGCUCUGAAAAAAAUUCACGCUAUGAAAUACUCCCGGGGUAAACACUGAGCAGGUUUCAAGUGAACGUCUAUAUGUUAGCCAUGAUUUGGUAGCAGUAAAGGCAACUUUAUGGGGUUCGUUUACUCUAAAAUUGUAAAACUAAACUCGUAUGGGAGAGGGCUUUUAGUUACGUCAAACGGAUUGGAAGAGAUCCUUUAAUUCCACUUAUUGGUGUUUUCAGCGAAAAAAGAUACCAGAAAAACAUAUACUAGGCAAUAUAUAUCAAUCUUAGUGUCCAUUUCGCAGGUCUGUUAAGUACAUUAUUUCCCUACUCAGUGGACUUAAGCUGUUUUUUUCUACUCGUCAAUUUCUCGACAAAGAGGUGCAAUGGCAAUAUUUCAAAACGUUACAUUUGCUAAUUUCUCGACCUGUGACGUGAAUUAACAUUGAUUAGAUCAUUUGUAAGGUGUCAGCAUUUGCGUCCACAGUUAUUGUAAAUUCCAGUGAAAAAAUAAUGAAUAUAUGGUGAAAGCCAAAUCUUUGCUAAUUGAAAAAUAAUAUAUUCCAAAUGUCAGAAAAAACAACAAGAACAACAACAGAAACAGAAAUGCAUGCACAAUUCCGAUGAAAACAAACACUCAUCUAUAUACUUUAAGGCAAUGUCAUAGUUAUGACUAACUAUUGAAGGGAAAAUUUAAAGUUAAUUUUCGUGGAAAGCUGGCAUGGAUGGAAAUAAUCAGACCAAGCGACCUCAAGUUCUAGUUUAUCCUCCAUUUUAACAUGUUCCUAUCUUGACAGCAAGUGUACAUCGUAUCUGUUUUAAGCUUUCAAGCGGUAGAUGUGUUUAAUAUUCAAUGUUCUCUUACUGACAUUGAUUUAAAAUUAUUGGCUUUAAACUGGACUUGAAAAGAAAAGGGCAAAUCGUUGAGCAAUAACUCGAAAAUGUUGAGAACUAUGUUGUCAUGCUUUGCUUGUCUUAGUUGCUAUUGUUAACAGUUUAAUUGUUUUCCCUUGCCUCAUUUUCGAAAAUAUCCUUAAAACCAGUAAUUAGCUUUCCUGGAGCUUACCCGGAGCAACAAAAAUGUGUUAGAUAUAAUUAGCGACGAAAAUCAGGUCUCGAAACGUGUUAAAAUACGUGUUCCUUCCGGUAAGCUCUUUUAUUGGUCGGUCUGAUCAAAGGCCAUGUUCUCCAUAGCUCGCAACCCUCAGUGGGUGUGGAUUUUGCAGUCAGUUGCAGCCUCAGUGUCGGCCAUAAUGGUGUUCGAUGCGUGCUGCCUCAGCCAAGAGGAGGCUGAACAGAAAGCCAGAUCAAGAAAAAUAGAUAGGCAAAUCGCUCAAGAGAAAGUUCAAUAUCGUCGUCAAGUUAAAGUCUUGCUUUUAGGUGCCGGAGAGAGCGGGAAGAGCACUUUCCUUAAGCAAAUGCGCAUCAUUCAUGGCCAGGAUUUCGACAGCGAUGCAUUGAAUGAAUUUCGCCCCAUCAUUUAUGGUAACAUCCUCAAGGGGAUGAAGGUCCUGGCUGAUGCUCGAAGGAAGUUGAGACUAGAAUGGCAAGAUCCCUCGAACCAAAUGUACGCAGAAAAGAUCUUGAAUUUCCAAGCGACGCAACACAUCGACACGGAUAUGUUCAUGAGUUACUUCGAUUGUGUGAAGAGGCUUUGGCGGGAUAAAGGCAUUCAAGAUGCGUACGACAGAAGAAGAGAAUUUCAGCUGGGCGAUUCAUCUAAAUAUUUCCUCGACCAUUUGGAACGGGUUGGUCGGCCGGAUUACUUGCCUACAAAGCAGGAUGUUCUUCAUGCAAGAAAAGCAACAAAGGGUAUUGUUGAACACGAGUUCAUCAUCAAGGGAAUCCCAUUCAAAAUGGUUGAUGUUGGUGGCCAGAGAUCACAAAGAGCCAAGUGGUUUCAGUGCUUUGACGAGGUCACAUCCAUUCUUUUCCUAGUGUCAUCAAGUGCUUAUGACCAAGUUCUAAUGGAAGAUAGAACAACAAAUCGUCUUGUGGAGUCAUGCAACAUCUUUGAGACAAUAGUCAACAACAAAUUCUUUGCCAAUGUGUCAAUCAUCCUUUUUCUAAACAAGACUGAUCUUUUAAUGGAAAAGAUCAAAUAUGCAAACAUAAAGGACUACUUCCCAGCUUUCCAGGGUGAUCCCCGAAAGCUGGAAGAUGUGCAGAACUUCAUUUUACAAAUGUUUGAUAGCAAGCGACGAGAGAGGUCUAAAGCUCUUUUUCAUCACUUUACGACGGCCAUUGACACAGAAAAUAUCAAGUUUGUUUUCCAUGCAGUAAAGGACACUAUAUUACAGGACAAUUUGAAGUCACUGAUGCUGCAGUAACUCAAAGUCACAAAGAACAGUGUUGUGUGUUCAAGAUAUUGCAAUUUAAAAAGGGUAUUAUGUUGGGGUAGAAGGGAUAAUGAGAUGCAAACAAUGACAAGUUGAGGUGUUCAUGUGCCAAAAUCAGUCAUUAGGCAGCAACAAGGCUACGACAUUUCAGUUUGUUUGAUUAUGCCUGUAAGAAUACUUAGAUAAGAAGAAAGCAAAAUUGCUAAAGCAUACACAACAAGAGACACUCUUGUAGACUGCUAAAAAAGCAACUUUUUUUACUUAUUUGUUAGAGUAAUUUGAAAAUAUUCUGGUUGAUAUGUGUAGGCUAGGCUUGUUUAGGUUGUGAAUUUUUCUAUUGUAAUUGUGUAUAGUCAAUAUUAAAACAUAAUAUAGUCUGCAGUGAUUGUCACAGAGGAACGGGCCAAUCUUCAUUGAAACUGGUUUUCAUCAGUCGUUUGAUAAUAGUAACAUUAUAUAGUUUGAUAAAAGCUAUUAUAACUUAUGAAGCUUCCCUGCAGUGAGUUGAGACCAGCACAAAAGUCUCAAAAAUAUAUUAAGGAUGUACAUUGUUGCAACAUAGUGCACAGGCAAAGAUUAUAUGGAUUACAGGAAAGUGGAGGAGAUUCUUUAUGCAUCAAAUUAUCUAGCUUGGCUUAGUCAUGUUUUCUGUGGAGACAUCCACCUAAGUUCAAUGAAGAGAACAAAUAUUUAUAGUCAAACAGUAGGUUCUUCUUAGAUUGAACCUCUCACAUCUAGAAAGAUAAAUGAUCAACAAGAGCUGUUUUAUGUUUGAAUUCUUCCAUGUUCUUCCACUUUUCUCUAAUGUUCUGCUACUUUGCCAAGACAAACUGAACACUUCCAGUGCGUAUAGGGCAUUCUGGAAGUAGAAAAUGGCUGUGCAUACUUCAAGAAGGGAUCAAUUUAUCACUACAUGGCUUGAAGUUGAAUCCACUGUUGAAUUAUAUUUGAAACUGCUUGAAAGGGAGAGAGCUUUCACAUAUAAUGAAGUAUCACUGGGAGCCAGUGAUUCAAUGUGUGUCAGCAUAUUAACCAAAAUUAACAAUGAUUUAUGAUAUAAUUCAAAUUAAACUAAUUACAGUAGUAGUAAUAAGGACAAGUUGUUGACUUUUUAUAGAAAUGACAAACAAAAGCCUCUUAUAUUUUAAGAAUCUAGAACAGUUAGUAACAGCAAGAAGUGUAUGUAAGGUAUUUCCUAAAACAAGAUAAAUUCAUUGAUUUAGGAAGUGUACUAUACAGUGUAAAAACAAGGGUGAAGCUUUAAAUGGUAGACAUCACCCUAAGAAAGAACAUGUUCAAGAGACUCUCAUUGUAAUGCUCUUAGAUGUUGAGUUAAAUGUCAAAUACAUUUCUACUUAAUAUUUGUUUCUCUGCCCAA